ensembl:lncRNA
AUUUCAACAGCCGGUUCUUUCUUUUGCUGCUGGACGUUUGUGCUGAGGUUGAACUCACUGCCAUGGCGUCUCCAUUUUGGCUUUCGUGGAUUUCCAAUCUGUUGUUUUGGGGCAGUAUUUGUUUUCCUUCUCAAAAAGGUUGCAAUAUUGCACAUGGCUACUAUCUCAAUGAGGAUGAAUUUAGUAGCCGUGUAGGAGGGCUUGAUCCACAAACGUCAAACCAGUUUCAUUCCUUUUCUUUGAAGCCAAACCAUGACACUGCUAGUUUAAGGGAUGAGAUGCAAGCUAUGAGAAACCAACGCUAUGUUUUCCGUCAGAGAGAACCAUUCCACCAUGAAAACUAUAAGGAUGCCACCGUUUCUACUGGUCUUGGUGAAGAGAUGACAAACGGCAAACCAGAGUAGACCAGGAUGUCCCCUCCUCUCCCCCUGUACCGAAACAUGUGCAUGAAGGUCCUGAUCAACAACACCCCUUAGGCAUAUCAGUGAGCGAGCACAGACAAGCAAAAAAUAUGGCAGGCCCCAGUUUCUCAUCCAUCAAAGAUUUCAAACAGUUUGUGGAAUUGAUGAAGCGCGCUUUCUUAAUGCCAGGAGAUGACCUAGAAAGACAUUUUCAAACCGCUAGGGAAACCAUUAAAAGGAGAUGGCUUCUAAUGAACAAACGGUGAAUAUGAAGAGGCAGCGCGACACGGGCCAUAGGUUUUCAUCUGCAAAUGAAGGC